rnacentral:tRNA from 1 species
CCCUGGCUGGCUCAGUUGGUAGAGCAUGAGACUGUUGAUCUUGGAGUCAUGAGUUCAAGCUCCCUGUUGGGGU